rnacentral:rRNA from 1 species
GCCCUUUCGGGGGUACUCGAGCGGCGAACGGGUGAGUAACACGUGAGUAAUCUGCCCUUCACUCUGGGAUAACUGCCUGAAAGGGUGGCUAAUACCGGAUAUUCACAUUCUCCUGCAUGGGGGUGUGUGGAAAGAUUUUUUGGUGGGGGAUGUGCUCGCGGCCUAUCAGCUUGUUGGUGGGGUAAUGGCCUACCAAGGCUUCGACGGGUAACCGGCCUGAGAGGGUGACCGGCCACACUGGGACUGAGACACGGCCCAGACUCCUACGGGAGGCAGCAGUGGGGAAUAUUGGACAAUGGGCGGAAGCCUGAUCCAGCAACGCCGCGUGAGGGAUGACGGCCUUCGGGUUGUAAACCUCUUUCAGCACAGACGAAGUCGCACUUUUUGGUGUGGUGACGGUAUGUGCAGAAGAAGCACCGGCCAACUACGUGCCAGCAGCCGCGGUAAUACGUAGGGUGCGAGCGUUGUCCGGAAUUAUUGGGCGUAAAGGGCUCGUAGGCGGUUUGUCGCGUCGGGAGUGAAAACCUCGGGCUUAACUCGGGGCUUGCUUUCGAUACGGGCAGACUGGAGGUAUGCAGGGGAGAACGGAAUUCCUGGUGUAGCGGUGAAAUGCGCAGAUAUCAGGAGGAACACCGGUGGCGAAGGCGGUUCUCUGGGCAUGACCUGACGCUGAGGAGCGAAAAGUGUGGGGAGCGAACAGGAUUAGAUACCCUGGUAGUCCACACCGUAAACGUUGGGGCGCUAGGUGUGGGGUCCAUUCC